rnacentral:rRNA from 1 species
GACGAACGCUGGCGGCGUGCUUAACACAUGCAACUCGAACGGAAAGGCCCUGCUUUUGUGGGUUGCUCGAGUGGCGAACGGGUGAGUAACACGUGAGUAACCUGCCCUUGACUUUGGGAUAACUUCAGGAAACUGGGGCUAAUACCGGAUAGGAGCUCCUGCUGCAUGGUGGGGGUUGGAAAGUUUCGGCGGUUGGGGAUGGACUCGCGGCGUAUCAGCUUGUUGGUGGGGUAGUGGCUUACCAAGGCUAUGACGGGUAGCCGGCGUGAGAGAGUGAUCGGCGACACUCGAACUGAGAGAGGGUCAAGACGACGACGGGAGGCAGCAGGAGGGAAGCUUCCGCAAUGGGCGAAAGCCUGACGGAGCAACGCCGCGUGAGUGAUGAAGGUCUUCGGAGCGUAAAACUCUGUGAUUAGGGAAGAACAAAUGUGUAAGUAAAUAUGCACGUCUGGACGGUACCUAAUCAGAAAGCCACGGCUAACUACGUG